rnacentral:rRNA from 1 species
AACUCCGAUUGCGUAGGCAGCUUACUAAACUAUAACUGACGCUCAUGCACGAAAGCGUGGGGAUCAAACAGGAUUAGAUACCCUGGUAGUCCACGCCGUAAACGAUGAUUACUAGUUGUAUGCGAUAUGAUAGUAUGUGACUAAGCGAAAGCGAUAAGUAAUCCACCUGGGGAGUACGCCGGCAACGGUGAAACUCAAAGGAAUUGACGGGGGCCCGCACAAGCGGAGGAACAUGUGGUUUAAUUCGAUGAUACGCGAGGAACCUUACCCGGGCUUGAAAUGCAGAAGACGACAGGUGAAAGCUUGUUUCCAGCAAUGGUUUCUGUGUAGGUGCUGCAUGGUUGUCGUCAGCUCGUGCCGUGAGGUGUCGGCUUAAGUGCCAUAACGAGCGCAACCCACAUCGUUAGUUACUAACAGGUUAAGCUGAGGACUCUAACGAGACUGCCGUCGUAAGAUGCGAGGAAGGUGUGGAUGACAUCAAAUCAGCACGGCCCUUACGUCCGGGGCGACACACGUGUUACAAUGGGUGGUACAAAGGGCAGCUACUAGGCGACUAGAUGCUAAUCUCUAAAACCAUUCCCAGUUCGGAUCGGAGUCUGCAACUCGACUCCGUGAAGCUGGAUUCGCUAGUAAUCGCGCAUCAGCCAUGGCGCGGUGAAUACGUUCCCGGGCCUUGUACACACCGCCCGUCAAGCCAUGGAAGUUGGGGGUAUCUGAAGUACGUAACCGCAAGGAGCGUCCUAGGGUAAAACUGAUAACUGGGGCUAAGUCGUAACAAGGUAGCCGUAAAUCGA